UUUCCUUUUCUUUUUUUUUUCUUUUUUUUUCUCUCCCCCCUUUCUUCUAGCAGCCACCGAGACCCCUCCCUCCCCGACCUCCAUCUCUCCCGCACCUCUCCGCCGCCGCCUUUCAGCCGUUACCCUAGCCGCCGACGCAUCGCCCCAGUCGAUCGUGUUUCCAGCCACGCCGCGCGAGAGACCCUUCGUCGAUCGUUCCGUCUCUCGUCCGUUCUGCCCACGUCAACGUCGUCCGCUUCAGCACCAAUGUCGGAUCUUCAAGCCACGACAGAUCUGGUAGUCGCGCUGCGUCGCCGUCCAGCCUCCAGUUGCACCGCUGCCAAGAUCUGUCCAGCCCCCUAGCCGCGCCGCUCCCCUAUUCCAGACGACGUCGUCGUCACCCUAAGCCGCCAAGACCGUUCGCGUGCAGUUCCGGCUUCGUCUACUUCUGUCACCGCCUUGGUGGACGCCGACAAACGUUUCCCAGCCGCAGUGAUUGUGUCCAUCACCGAUCUAUCAUUUGGGAAUGUGUGUGUUAUAUAUCGAUCAUAAUGAAAUCGGAAGGAUCUGAACUCGCUCAUGGAUGCUCUUCGUUAAGAGUUCCUUCAUUCGAGGCGUUGUUCAUCAAGAAAGGGACCAAUUUUUGGCAGAAUAUUGUUAAAGUUUGUUAAGUUUUUGGUAAGUAGUUGAUUGGUUAUUUUUUGGAUUAAGAGUGAUUGUCUAUAAUUAAGUUAUUAAUUUUCGAUUUAAUUUAUAUUCAGGUUGACCAACUGAUUUGAGUUUUGGAAUUUAUUUUGGACCAAGCCACAACUUUGGGCAUGAUUCAAGAUUCAUCUAAGCUAGGAGGAAAUCAAUUUGCUUGUCACUUAGACAUAAUUUUGAGGUAAGUAAUCUUACUAUUGGAACUGCCCUAGUGCCAGGCAAUAAUAAUUAUGAUUUACAGAGGAUCAUUAGUUAACAUGAUAUUCAUGUAUGCCUUCAUUGACUGAGGUUUGAAAGGACUAGAGUCAGUUAUUGAUAAUUAUGAUUUAUUGAGGAUAUAUUAAUGGUGUAAUGUUUAUGUAUGCCUUGUUGGCAUGAGGGUUUAAAAGGCUAGAUGUGCAUAGAGAUGUUUGAAUGCUACAAUGAUUUGAGCAUAUUAUUAUUCUUGGAGAUCCUACUGAAUCUGGGGAUGAUGAGAUGUAUAUGUAUGUUAUGGGACUACGACGAUGAGAUAUAUAUGUAUGUUAUAGAACAAUGAUGAUGAGAUGUAUAUGUAAUGAGACUAGGAUGACGAGAGGUAUAUGUAUGUUGUAGAGCCAUGAUGUUGAGGUGUAUAUGUUUGUAUACAACCAUGUCGUGAUACUUAUGAUGUUGAGAUUGUGAUAGUGUCCUCACUGAUUAGUUAGAUGCCCACUAGAUGUUGUGUUUCCCUCGGGAUACACUAGAGGUGGUGUUAUCCUUCGGGAUUCACCCGAGGUUAUGUUUCCUUGGGGAUUCACCAGAGGUUGUCUUUCCUUCAGGAUUCACCAGAGGUAGCUUGUAUUUUCUUUGGGAUUCACUAGAGGUGGUGGUUUCCUUCGGGAUCCACUAGAGGUUGUGUUUCCCUCGGGAUUUACUAGAGGUGGUGCUUUCCUUUGGGAUUCAUCAGAGAUUAUGGGUCCUACGAGACUUACUAAAGGUAGUGGGCAUACUUAACUAUAGUAGGAUAAAAAUCAGUUUUUCAUGUAUGUGUAUGUCCUAUGAGGACUAGAGAAGUUUAUAUGUUUCCACCAGAGGUAGGCAUCUAGAGGACAUAGAUGCCUAGCCUAACCCCGGUAGUGAGGUUACUUACUGAGUAUUUUAUAUUCAUCAUUUCUCAUGUUGUUUUAGGUAAAGGUAGAAAUGCACUGGCGAUUGAUAAGUGGAAUCCGUGAUCGAGCCACUGAGAUCAGUUUUAUGCUUCCGCUCAUGAUAUUUAGAUUUCUUUUCAUGUUUUUCAACUUUUAGUUUUGAUGUUUGAAACUUACUAUUAAGAUUUGUUUUCAGA